GCAGACACAUUCCAGCCAAUCAGCAGUAGACCCUCCCUCUCAGACCCUCCCACCUCCUGGACAGCUCACUAAGAAUGCAGCUUCACAAUGAAUGUAAAAUGGAUGCUGUCCAGGAGGUGGGAGGGUCUGGGAGGGAGGGUCUGCUGCUGAUUGGCUGGAAUGUGUCUG